CCUACGGGUGGCAGCAGUGGGGAAUAUUGGACAAUGGGGGGAACCCUGAUCCAGCGACGCCGCGUGAGUGAAGAAGUAUUUCGGUAUGUAAAGCUCUAUCAGCAGGGAAGAAAGAAAUGACGGUACCUGACUAAGAAGCCCCGGCUAACUACGUGCCAGCAGCCGCGGUAAUACGUAGGGGGCAAGCGUUAUCCGGAGUUACUGGGUGUAAAGGGAGCGUAGACGGCGAUGCAAGUCUGAAGUGAAAGGCGGGGGCACAACCCCCGGACUGCUUUGGAAACUGUAUGGCUGGAGUACAGGAGAGGUAAGCGGAAUUCCUAGUGUAGCGGUGAAAUGCGUAGAUAUUAGGAGGAACACCAGUGGCGAAGGCGGCUUACUGGACUGUAACUGACGUUGAGGCUCGAAAGCGUGGGGAGCAAACAGGAUUAGAUACCCUAGUAGUC
rnacentral:rRNA from 1 species